UACAGAGGUCCCAAGCGUUGUUCGGAUUCACUGGGCGUAAAGGGUGCGUAGGUGGCCAGGUAAGUUCGGUGUGAAAGCUCGGAGCUUAACUCCGAAAUGGCAUUGAAUACUAUCUGGCUAGAGGGUCGGAGGGGAGACUGGAAUUCUCGGUGUAGCAGUGAAAUGCGUAGAUAUCGAGAGGAACACCGAUGGCGAAGGCAGGUCUCUGGGCAUUAACUGACGCUGAGGAGCGAAAGCAUGGGGAGCGAACAGG
rnacentral:rRNA from 1 species